UUCUGGGAGUUGCGAGUCGUCACGGUGUCUGCGUGGGGGGCGGAAAGGGCUGUGGGUUCGGGGUCGGCGGCGAAGGAUGCUCGAGCGCCGCGGGAAGGCACCUGUGCGCGGGGCUAAGCGGGAUUCACCGGCCUCGUCCCACAGCGGGUCGGGCCUUGUGUAAAAGAUGAUGACAGCAGCUAGGCCAACUUUUGAAGCUGCAAGAGGCGGAAGAGGAAAAGGAGAAGGUGAUUUGAGCCAACUCUCAAAGCAGCAUUCAAGUAGAGACCUGCCUUCUCCUACAAAGAUCAAAUACAGACAAGCUUCCAAGUGUCUUUGAAAGAGAGAGCAGCUUUUAAGUGAGUGAAGAAGUCAACUCACCCUAUGGAAAGCUGGGCCAAACAGUGCUUCCUGAUGAAUAAAAGAACAGCUAAAUUGAUACAGACUGGUGAUAAUAAAAGUUAAAUUAGGUGUAUUACUGUUAUGUACUCAGUGUUGUGCCUCCUUCCCCCAUUCUUAUAUUGAAAUCUUAACUCCCAAUGUGAUGGCAUUUGAAGGUAGGGCCUUUGGGAAAUAAGUCCUUCCUCUGGGAAUUAAUUAGGAAUUUGUGUCCUAAUGAAAAGGGACCCCAGAAAGUGUUCUUAAUCUCUUUUCACCAUGUGAGGAUACCAGAAGUUGGCAGUCUACAACCAACAACCACACAAGCACCACGAUCUCGGACUCCCAGCCUCCAGAGCUGUGAGAAAUAAAUUUGUGUUUAUAAGCUCACUGGUCUGUAUUCUAUUAUAGCAGCCGGAACUGAAAAAGACAAGCCUCUUACUGUAAUAAACUAAACAAUGAAAAACAUUAUUUGAGGGUGACUAACGGCUGUUCUUAUGGUUCAAAUGUUUAAUUCCAUAGGUUUGAAUGUGGAAAGCAUCACUUUCAAAACAAUGUCAGAAUAGUUAUCUUUAUUUUUAUCCUCGUAAAUGUACUCACGAUAGCUUUACUCAGUUGUCCUUGCUCCUGGCUUAGCUUCCUUAGAUUCUGAGUACAUUAUUGUUCCCAUAUGAAUUAGAACAAAUACAUUCCAGUAAUAAAUACUUAUCUCAAAAGUAAAAUAAUUUUGGAAAAAGCAAUAGGCUUUUGUAAGUUCUUAUAAGCCGUGUAAAAAUAGAAAAGGAGGACCAGGUUAUGAUAAAGGAAAUUUCUAAAUUCUUAAGACCCAAACAGCUUUUGCUCACUUCAGGUUUCUGUUCUCAGGGAGUUGGGGAUUCUGUAAAUCAGGACAUUUUGAUGCAUAAAUCUGAUCAGAAAGAAUAAUAUGCCUAAUUCAAAGAGAAGUUUAUUUUGAAAGUUUCUUCUCAAACAAGAGCAAGAUCUUGGACUUGCAGGGAAUUCCAGGGCCUUGCCAUGCAUUAUGUUUGCAGCAAAUAUAAGGAAAAUGUAGUACAGAGUUUAAAUAUUAAAAUUUAACCCUGACCAAUUAAAUUUGUUUAAUAUUUGUCCUUCAGUAAAAGUAUUAUGGGUUCCUAUAUAAAAUGCAGAAAUAUCCCUAUUUCUAUGGAAGGAAACUUUAGGGUUUUUGUAAGUUAGAAAGUAAAUGUUGUAUAAGGAAUAUGGAAAAUAUUAAAAGGACAAAAAUAAAUACUCUAAUUCUACCAUUCUGGAAUAACUUGUUAACAUUUUAGAAUUUCUGUCAAUCUUUUGGCUAUCUGGUUUCUCUCUUGAAUAAAAGUGAAUGUAUAUUGUU